CACCAUACCCGGCUAUUUUUAAUACAAAAUUUGGACACCACUCAUCAACGGCACUGUCCCUCGCAGAUAGAUCAUCAGCCACUUUCCAUCCUUGGGCCCUUCUAACCGCAUUCGGAACCCCAACCCCUUUCUGUCAUCCCAACCCCUUUCGGCCCCCUUGCGUGUGACCCUGAUGCCGCGUGUGACGUGCACGAGAGAUAGAGUCCAGGAUCUUGAGUAGGUCAAGCAGAGAACAGCAAGUGCACAUCCGAAGGUCAAAAGCAAAAGCAGAUAGGCGUACUGAGCAUGACCGGAAGAUGUGCUCCAGUUCGCGCAGAAACAGGAAGUGGCGCGAAGGGGUGUCGAGGCGCUGAGGCUCAGGUGAACCGGGAGAAGGAACUAAAUCCGGCUUUCGGAUUUUAGAAGAUGUGGACCCAGCCCCAGGUGCCUCUCACCUGAUCUCCCUGGGACAGUGGAGCAGGAUUGGCCCUGGGUAUUGCCCAAACUCAGGUGGAUGGAGGGGGAGUGGUCUCCCAGCCCAACAGUGCUACCUGUACAAAGCCUUUUACCCAGGGUCUCGCAAAAUUGUUCAGGCUGGCCUCCAACUUGAG